GCUUACGACCACACCGGCCUGAGUACGCCUGAUCUCGUCUGAUCUCGGAAGCUAAGUAGGGUCGGGCCUGUUUAGUACUUGGAUGGGUGACCGCCUGGGAAUACCAGGUGCUGCAAGCU
ensembl:rRNA 5S_rRNA 5S ribosomal RNA